AGAAUAGGGUCCAGAAAUCGUAACUUGACAGAACACAGAAUUUGAGUAGUUUUUGAAUAUUUUAAAAUCCUAUACACCUAAUCACAAGUUAAAAAUUUGUUUAAGUGAUAUAUAAGGUGAUAAAAAUGAAUAGUUUUAAAUUUAGCUCAAAAUUUCUCACUCUAAGCAUAAUAUUAAUUAAAUUAAGAAAAGAGAGAGUGAGUUGUCUAUUUGACAAAGGAAGCAAGCACAGCUUCAAGUGGUGAAGCUUGGUGCUAGAAUAUUGCCCAUCUUGAAUUCUUUUUGAAUAUAGAGAGAUCUAAAACACAAAACUCAAGAUAAAAAAUUAGUUCAAUAAUCUUAAUUAUUUGUUAUCAUCAAAAUCUAAUAGAAGAUUAGGGCCACUAGGCCAACAGUAGUUUCGUAUUUUCUUACUUUAGUGUCCUGUAAUUUAAAGUAUAUCAAAUUAAUAUUUUGUGAUUUCAUUUUUAUCUUUUCGUCAGCUUUUCCGUUAAUAUUUUGUUAAAUUAUAUACAAAAAAUUUCAUAUACCCCACCUAUGUUUAUCGAACAUUCACUUUAGUACCUUUUAGUUUUAACUUUAUCACUGAUUUAACGAAAAACAUAAGGGGAAUCGAUAAUAAAAAGAUAAAAAUGAAAUCACAGGGCACUAAAUUGAUACAUUUUAAACCAUAUAAUACUAAAUUGAGAAAAUGUGAACCACAUGGCUGAUAUUUAAAGUUUUUCUUAAAAAAAAUAAAUAAAAAAGAAAAAAUAAAAAAAUAAAUGUAAGAGAUGCUAAAGAAAAAAAUAGCAGCUGCUAUAGUAAAAAUAUAAGACUGUAAGUAUAAAAAAAUAAAAAUAAAAUUAUAAAAAUAAUAAAUUAUAUUCAAGUCGUAGUAAAAAUAUAAAAGAAAAAAAGUUAAAUAAGAA
rnacentral:lncRNA from 1 species